ensembl:lncRNA
AUGCCAUGUAAUACCUGCUCCGAAGCUUUUGUCUUCCUCCUUGCCACUGUCUCUGAAGUCCUGGAUCAGUCCAGCCUGGGUUACAUGGGAUCUUUCAUGUUUUAUAACCAGUACUGGUUUUGUCCAGUCUCUUCGCCAGUGGGACCUCUGACAACGCACGGUCUCUCCUCCGGAGGGGCUUUUCUGCACCUCAAAUGAAUGCAUGAAGAAAAGUGAACCAGAUCAGAAAUCCAUGGGCACAGCAAAGUGUUUUCCAGACCUGCAGUCCCCCUGGCCCGUAUGUAGCUGAGUGUGAGCUGACCCAAACCUGUCCGAGCAGGCUGCAGGCAGCAGGCAGUUGCCUUUAUAGUUAUUUUCUAUGCAGUAACAGCACAGUGUUGAUAUUUAAGUACCAACAAACCUUUGAAGAUUCUCACAUUUGCUGUAGAACUAGUGGCUGACUGACAAGCCAGCACACAGCUUUCUAAACCAAGAAGCAAGGGGUGGGAGAUGGGCUGGAUAUGUACGUCUCAUCUACCAGUGCAAAAUGCUAAGCAAAGAAUUAUUGCUUGCAUUCUUGAAUCAAAUUCUUGUGAUUUUAGAUCAUGACUAAAWAAAAUUGAGAUGAGUUUUUAACACUAGAAGUUUAUAUGCAGAUGUAAACUGCUGCCUUUGUAUAUAAUGUACGUAGGUUUUCUGUGUGCCUUGGAGGAAGGACUAGGACUUUGAGUUUCGACUCUUUUCAUAUGCUGCCCUAGCCAAAGGGACUCUGUGGCCUUGAAGCACUAAUGAAACAAUCUGUCCGCUUCCCCCCGGAAAACAUUAUGCUGUAUAUCUUGCACAGAGGAUUGUAAUUGACUGACUGGCGUUUUUAUUAUAUAGUUAAGUAGCUCACUUGCCAGAAGCAGGGCAGAAGCACAGUUGUUUAGCCACUCAGUUGUUUAGCCACUAAGCCUUAAGUUCACCUUUUUUAAUUCUGAAACUAUUUAUCUGGCUUUAACCCUUGCCUGUGCCUAUUUUCACCCGGUUAACAUAUUCUUACAUCAGUACUGCUUAUUAGUAUUUUCAGAUGAGCACCAACUAGUUACRUCUCCCACAUGCAUAUUAUGUGAACUGCUUCAAUUUCAGCUUGUGUGGCCAGUUACAGUAGCUGACCUGACAGGUUUUUCAAACCUACCAAAAAGUUAGUAGAGUAGGUUUCCUCUGGCAGCUAAUUUAACAUAUAUGGUAGGAGACAAGUCUGCAUAUCAGGUGAUAGGAGGAAUAAGAGUUUCAUAUAGGCACUGUGGAGAACAGACAAGGCACUGUUUACUCCAAAGGCCUGCUGAAGAGGGGAAGGUAUCACUGUUCACAGAUGGGGAGUGGGACCGGGCAUAGGCUGGGUAGUCUCUCCCUKSCUGUGGACACASACCCCAGCUUGUGCAGGRUAUGRUAACAAUGCCUUUGUCACCACCUCCGCUAUUAUCUGCUACCAACCMCUUGCGGCCUAAACUAAUGUCAAGAGCCUGACCCACACCAAAGCUGCCUCAUARAUCAAGUGAAAAGGGGAAUUAAUAUCUACAACUACWUGYWGAUCAGGCAUGAGAACCCAUGAUGGGGGGGCCUCCACUAUUUAGUUCUCUAAAUCUGAAGGGUGGAAACCUUUGUCACAAGUUUUCAUUAAUUUCUUUUCCCUUCCUUUUUGAAAACCCAGUCAGCUGGUUGAGCCCAGAGGAGUGUGUCAGAGUGACAUAGGUUCUGGCUACUGAUAAGGAUGCCAAGAAACCUAAUCACAAUAGACAUGCGCCUUAGAAGCAUAUAAAAUGUGAUAGUAACAACAGCUCUUUGGAGCUCCCUCUCAGCUGGUCUGGGACCCCCCCCCCCCCUUAUUGCGUCCUGCACACUUGAGACCCUCGCCCGACAUGGAACAGGUCGUAUUACCCCUGCUUGCUCUGUAUGUAGUGUAGUGUGUUAUUUUUACCCUGUUAAAUACGGAACUUGCUAUAUUGUUUAAACUCUCUUGCUUAAGGAUACUGGUGUACUUAAUAUCUGAAACCUGAUAACCGCCUGGCUGUUUGGUCAGUGAAGCGUUAACAGAAAAAAAUACAAGUCACCCCGCUGGCCACGAGCAGUGUUCGUGACAGGCAUGCACUCAGCAAUCUCACUGUUGGAUGAAGUUCAAUAUUGAGAUGCCAGAUAUACUGGAACAAAAGUCUCACCUAUUUCAGCCAUUUAUUUUUAACCCAUUCAUCAAAGCACCUGGAGGAAGCCCUGAGGAGAAAAGAAUUGGAAUGCAAUAAACAAAAAUGCCUCUGGAUGAAAAGCA